UAGGGAAUCUUCCGCAAUGGGCGAAAGCCUGACGGAGCAACGCCGCGUGAGUGAUGAAGGUCUUCGGAUCGUAAAACUCUGUUAUUAGGGAAGAACAAAUGUGUAAGUAACUAUGCACGUCUUGACGGUACCUAAUCAGAAAGCCACGGCUAACUACGUGCCAGCAGCCGCGGUAAUACGUAGGUGGCAAGCGUUAUCCGGAAUUAUUGGGCGUAAAGCGCGCGUAGGCGGUUUUUUCAGUCUGAUGUGAAAGCCCACGGCUCAACCGUGGAGGGUCAUUGGAAACUGGAAAACUUGAGUGCAGAAGAGGAAAGUGGAAUUCCAUGUGUAGCGGUGAAAUGCGCAGAGAUAUGGAGGAACACCAGUGGCGAAGGCGACUUUCUGGUCUGUAACUGACGCUGAUGUGCGAAAGCGUGGGGAUCAAACAGG
rnacentral:rRNA from 1 species